rnacentral:rRNA from 1 species
UACGUAGGGUGCGGGCGUUAAUCGGAAUUACUGGGCGUAAAGUGUGCGCAGGCGGCCGAGCAAGUCGAGUGUGAAAGCCCCGAGCUUAACUUGGGAACUGCGCUCGAAACUACUUGGCUAGAGUGUGGCAGAGGGAGGUGGAAUUCCACGUGUAGCGGUGAAAUGCGUAGAGAUGUGGAGGAACACCGAUGGCGAAGGCAGCCUCCUGGGCCAACACUGACGCUCAUGCACGAAAGCGUGGGGAGCAAACAGG